GAACCCACGAUGUUAGGAAUAAUGCUCGUGAGGGACCAUGGUGGAUUCCGUGCUGGACACACACGCCAGGCAGACAUGAUUUGAGAAGUAUAAAAGGAAGAGGCAAAGUCAAUCUUAGAGAUUUCUUUUCCAUCCACGCUGAGGACACAGCAGCCCUUCCAGCUUGAGGUAGAGCACAUUUUCAAGGCCUGCAGUCCAGGCUUUCACGCACUUCUGCCACCUGGCCUGCCGUCCAGACUCCCCCAGCUGCAGACUUGUGUCCUUGGAACAUACCCUGCCAAGGAGGACUUCUGCUCCCCCGCCCUUCUGCUACCUGCCUUCCUUAAGCCCUGUUGGUACUUUCAAUAAAUGAGACUUGAUCAGAA